CGAUGUCGCUAACGUGUAGCCUUAGAAGUAUUGAGCUUUGCAGGACCAUUCUUAUGCAUGACCAAAAUCAUGCGUGGAGAAUCGGUGAAUUUGACGUGGCCUUGUGCUAUGCCAAAUCUGCAAUUCACAAUUUUUCUACGGCUACACGGACAUUGCUUGCUGGGCAGUUUAACUGGGGCGGUUGCCUCCUAAAAAGUAACGGAGGCGCGCAAUGGUCCACUAGCGCCGGAUGGAAAUCGGCGUUGUCGUGUAAUCGCACAAGUGGGCCUAACUGUGAGACGAACAUGUCGAUCAGAAGCGAAAGCUGGUGAUAGUGAUCCGGCAGCCGGACAUAUUUAUAUGUCCUUACCACGUGGGUGGGCUG
rnacentral:rRNA from 1 species